rnacentral:lncRNA from 1 species
CCACUUGGCCUAAAGCCAAUCGAUGCAGUAUCUAAUACCCAUCUUCGACUUGUAGUUGUCGAACUCCUUCACCGCAAUGGCUUUAGUGAAUGGGUUGGUUGUUUACCAAACUCCAUCUGUCUUCCAUCUUGUUCGAUGCUGAAGUUGUUUGAAGGUUUCUGGCCAUCGCCAUAUCGAUUCGCCCUUAGGGACUAGAGAUUUUUGCCAAGGGUAUUCUCUCUCGUUGAGAUGAGGUCCCUGGUGCCUUUGAUGUAGUUUAUUUUUCACCUAUCGUCGGUGUAGUUCGUCACUUUUUCUUUUCGUCUCCCUCUUUCUUCUGUGCUCGAGUGAGGGUCUUCCCUUUGCUCUUGACGGGGUCGUAGAGAGGCCCUUACAAUGGCCCUUAUGUGCCCCCACAGCCUUAUUAGGAACAGGAGGAGAACCUCAUCCUAAUAUGAGCAAAGUCGAAGGUCUGAUUUUCUAAAGACCGGAUGGGGGGGAGAGGCCCUUACAACGGCCCUUAUGUGCCCUCACAGCUUUGUUAGGAACAGGAGGAGAACCUUAUUCU